rnacentral:rRNA from 1 species
GAAAAGAACUUUGAAAAGAGAGUUAAACAGUACGUGAAAUUGUUGAAAGGGAAACGAUUGAAGUCAGUCAUACCAGCGGGAAAUCAACCUUUCGAGUGGGUUUUUGGAGUUUUGAAGUGUGUCAAAACCUUUGAGAUUUCAAAAUUCUUGCUCCUUUGGUGUACUUUCUCGUAGGUAGGUUAACAUCGAUUUUGGUCAUCAUAAAAAGAUUGGAGGAAUGUAGCUUCGAUCUCGUAUUGAAGUGUUAUAGCCUUUGGUAAAUGUGAUGAUUAAGAUCGAGGAUUGCAACGAAUACCCUUCCGGGCUAUCCGCCUGAUCUCUAAUAUGAAGUUGGGUUACGGACAGCAUGCUGACUGUGAUCUAAUUUUCAGUUAAAAGAUUAGAGCGAGUGUAAAUUCGU